CAGAGAAGGAUAACGAUUGGAUUGCAAGGAAUAGCGAAGCCCAUGUAGUGAAAGUCAAAUUUUCCGAGUAUGGCGAGAAGAUGUAUGAUCGCCUGAAGAGGGAGAUUGGAAGCUGCAUGCAUUUUCUCAAUAGGUGAAAAACGAUCGGAUCAAAAGAGGGAAACCAAAACUGAAUGCAAUUACUGGAGCCGACUGGAUCUGAAUCUCUGAAGGAUGAGAUCCUGUCUUAAAUCAAAGCAGAGAUGUGGUCGCCGAUUAGUUAAGUCGAUUUGAAGAUUCGAUUGUGGAGUCAUUGAUUUCGCUAGGCCUGGCAAGCUAAAAGUGAGAGAUAUCGAAGAUUCUGGUCACCAGAGAGAGAGAUCAGACCAGAGAUAGUACCUUCCCAUUGAUCAGAAGCGAGGUUGAGGUGUAGAUUAGAGUUGGAGGGCCCCGAAAACAAUUAAUCUAAGUGACUUCACCGACAUAAACGAAAAAGAUAAUCAUCUUUUAAGUUGAAGAACUUCAUCUAUCUUUCGUAUGUCGAUCCUUAGAGGUCUUGAUCUUAAAGUAUGUGUUGAGAGAAAAGAAUUUCAAAGUACCCACGGUGAUAGAGUGAACGAAUCGACAUACUGCAAAUUUCAGGACAGUGACGGUUGAACUUGAUAUCAAAGGACAAUAAAGAUGAGCCUUAAGUUGACCCAGAUAGAGACCAAAUAUCUUUUGUUGCAUAACAGGUUUUACUCAAUUGGUGUAUAAUAGUAGUCAAUCGAAUUAUGAUAGAUUGGUAUUGAUACAGCAGACCAAACUAAACCGAGACUAAAUUAAACCAAGGCAAUACUGGAUAACAAACCACGUUAUUUUAGGUGCACUCGGUUUUGAAAAAUUUAUUACGCAGGGUUAGUAAGUUAUAAAACGACUGUGUUUUAAGGGAAUGGCAUAGAACGGUAAUUAUUAAG